GGGGGAGUGGCUCAGUGGUGAGAGCGCAGCGAACUUGCAUUUGGUCUCUUUUCCCUAAAAAAACAGCGAAACGUGUCCUAGAAAUGCCGGUUCCUAAGGUCCUGGGUUCGAAUCCCAGUUCCCCUA